rnacentral:rRNA from 1 species
UCCAGACUCCUACGGGAGGCAGCAGUGGGGAAUAUUGCACAAUGGGGGGAACCCUGAUGCAGCGACGCCGCGUGGGCGAGGAAGUAUUUCGGUAUGUAAAGCCCUAUCGGCAGGGAAGAAGAAAUGACGGUACCUGAAUAAGAAGCCCCGGCUAACUACGUGCCAGCAGCCGCGGGAAUACGUAGGGGGCAAGCGUUAUCCGGAUUUACUGGGGGUAAAGGGGGCGCAGACGGCAGCGCAAGCCAGGGGUGGAAGCCCGGGGCCCAACCCCGGGACUGCUCUUGGGACUGCGCGGCUGGAGUGCAGGAGGGGCAGGCGGAAUUCCUGGUGUAGCGGUGAGAUGCGUAGAUAUAAGGAGGAGCACCGGUGGCGGAGGCGGCCUGCUGGACUGCGACUGACGUUGAGGCCCGAAAGCGUGGGG